rnacentral:rRNA from 1 species
GACGAACGCUGGCGGCGUGCUUAAUACAUGCAAGUCGAACGGAGCCUAGCCGGUAGUUUACUACAGGCGAAAGCUUAGUGGCGGACGGGUGAGUAACGCGUGGGCAAUCUGCCCCUAAGUCCGGGAUAACAGAGCGAAAGUUCUGCUAAGACCGGAUACUCUUCCUUGGUCGCAUGGCGGAGGAAGGAAAGGAUACGCUUAGGGAUGAGCCCGCGUCCCAUUAGCUAGUUGGUGAGGUAACGGCCCACCAAGGCGACGAUGGGUAGCCGGCCUGAGAGGGUGGACGGGCCACACUGGGACUGAGACACGGCCCAGACUCCUACGGGAGGCAGCAGUAGGGAAUUUUCCGCAAUGGGGGAAACCCUGACGGAGCAACGCCGCGUGAGGGAAGAAGGUCUUCGGAUCGUAAACCUUUGUCAUCGAGGACGAAAACUGACGGUACUCGAGGAGGAAGCCCCGGUAACUACGUG